rnacentral:lncRNA from 1 species
CGCAGUAGUAAGCUCCCUGCAAAAUCGACUGAUUCAGAUGUUGAUUUGGGGGGAAAGAACAGAAUCGAAGAUUGAGAUGUUAAUUUGGGGGAAAGAACAGGAGAGAUUUGUGACUGAUAAAAUGACCACCCUUGAAAAUCGACUGAUUCAGAUGUUGAUUUGGGGGGAAAGAACAGAAUCGAGUUGAUUUGGGGAAAAGAACGGGAGAGAUUUGUG